rnacentral:rRNA from 1 species
GGUCAAGCGAACAAGUGCAUGUGGUGGAUGCCUUGGCGAUCACAGGCGAUGAAGGACGCGGUAGCCUGCGAAAAGCUACGGGGAGCUGGCAAACAAGCUUUGAUCCGUAGAUGUCCGAAUGGGGAAACCCACUCCUUCUGGAGUAUCCAUGGCUGAAUACAUAGGCCAUGCGAAGCGAACGCGGUGAACUGAAACAUCUAAGUAACCGCAGGAAAAGAAAUCAACCGAGAUUCCCAAAGUAGUGGCGAGCGAAAUGGGAUGAGCCUUGCACUCUUUAUUUGUAUUGUUAGCCGAACGCUCUGGAAAGUGCGGCCAUAGCAGGUGAUAGCCCUGUAGGCGAAAACAGUAUGAAAGAACUAGGUGUGCGACAAGUAGGGCGGGACACGUGAAAUCCUGUCUGAAGAUGGGGGGACCAUCCUCCAAGGCUAAAUACUCGUGAUCGACCGAUAGUGAACCAGU